GGGUGUUGGCUGCAGAUGUUAACCGAGACAGACAGUCGUGUUCUUAGUGGGCGGGCUGUCGGCCCCGGAAAGCAGGCGGAGUUGGUGGUUGUGAAAGGUGUUGUUUGUGCUUGGCAGGGAGUGGGCGCUUAGCAAAUAUUUGAUGAAGGAGUGGAUUUGUCUUCGCCUUAGCACACGGUUAAGUACACUGUAACUUCGCCGCAAAUCCGGUUAGGUAAUUUCCUUUUCCCACGAUACGUAGUCACCCCAGUUUUGUCUUCUUUACGUGCAAGCAUUUUCUCAAGCAUGAUUUUCACACCUUUAAACGUUAGUUUUGCCAAUUACACGAUGUGGAUGAGUCCGGUUUUUUUAACCUUUGAAAACGUACUGUAUGAUUCUUUUUUAAACUUCGAGUUAAAUUAGCCUUUUGGUCUGCAAGUGUGUAUGUUCAGGUUAUUCGCUACGGAUGAAUGGCACAGUAUUUGUCACCUUUAAAAAUCAGCGCAUCUUUAUCAUUCACUGAGGAAGCAAAGGAGGAAUAAAUACACAAAGUGACUCCCCAAGCCUAUACCCUCCGCAGGAUCAGACCCCCAACCCACUGUGCUAGACUUCUAACGCCAAAUAACUACCAUUUUUCUAGUUCCUAUUGUGUGUUUGGUACUGUGCUCCUCAGUCUACGUGAAGAAUUAUGCUUAAUCCUCCUGCCAUAUCUAGGAUAUAGAUAUUGUCAUCCAGGUUUGUGCAAUUUCAGGCCCCGCUGUGUCCUGAGGACACUAGGCUGGUACUGAGUUGAUAACAGCCCUUGUCAGAUAAUAUGUAUAGGGGAUAAUACUUAUACCCCCAGUUCAGAGUAAGAUUGAGAGUCGGAAUAAGCAUCUGGGGGAGGAAUACAGUACCAAGAAUAGUUUUUCAUACUUCAGAAUUUUGCCUAGAGACAGCAUAAUUUCCCUUGUCUCCAAUAGAUUUCUGGUUUUGUGCAAUAUCAACCUUAGAACAACUAUACAGAGUAUGCUAAGAGAGAAAUAAUCAAACGCCAAGGCCUAGAUUCCGCCUGACCAUGAGACAUAAGAUAUGUAAUGAAAGUGGGUCUGUAUGCAUGAUGCUUUGUGGCUAGCGAAUGUGAAUUAUUUCCCCCACGUCUAAUCAAACAAUUAAUUAGGCAUUAUGUAGCAGUAGCUUGUAUGUCUUUCAAAAGAUUGGAGUAAAAACACCAGGAGGGAAAAAGUAAUUAUGACUUAGUACUGUGGUCCAUAGUAUUUAUAUGCGGAGAGGUGUGAAAUCGGAGAGCAGAUAUCCUAACACACAUCCCUUCUUCAGGGAACCAAAGAGAAAUGAUACUCAGUAUGUGAUAAUAUGGUCCAUAUUAGCAGCACCAAAGGACAGCGUGAGAGGGCCUUAACCCUUACCCCCCAAACUCUGUUCAUCAGUCCAAAUCAUCUACCCUGAAUAACUGUUCCAUCUAAGUGAAAACAAGUUUUGCUAUUGAAAUUUACCUUCAAGCAAGAGCCCUAGUCCCCCAUUUCCAACCAGAAUGAGUCCCUAAGACCCUAGUUAGAAUUUUUUGAGCUAUCCAGUUAUCCACAUAAAAUUAAUGAACAGUCAUACAAAAAAGCUCUCAAACUAGGGGAGCAGUGAAGCACAUGGUUAAGAGCUUGGCUCUGGUGUCAGAGCUGGUGUAAAUGUUUCUGCCUUUGAUUAGUUAUGAGGCAAUGGUAAGACUUCUCUGUGCCUCAGUUUCCUCAGCUGCAACAUGGCAAGUGGAAUAAUUUUUCACAGGAUUGUUAUGAGGCUCACCUGAGACCAAGCAAGCUCUGAAUUCUAGACCAGCACAUUCAGGAAAUGGUGGCUCUAAUCUCAGUUUUCAUGACUACGCAAGAAUAAUAGAAGCAAUCACAAAUGCUGCAUAAACCUCUUAAACUAUGAAUGUAUUGUGUGCUGCUUCAGAGCUGGAGCUGAGGACUUGUUGAUUACCUCCCAUUUACCAAAUUACAGCAAAUUAGAUUGAACUGUGACUGGCAUGUGAACGACCUGAUGUUGGACAUGGAUGAGGAAUAUUGCUCUAUAAACCACAUCGCUGCCCGUUUCCCGUAGUUUCCAGCACGACUCGAAAGGCUCUCCACGAUCUGCUUCCAGCUGACUUUUCAAGGUGUCAUUCUUCCCGCGCUUUCCCCAUGUUCCUUGCAGAUCUGCGAGUGAUUACUGCUGUGUAAUCACCCACACAGUUCCCUCAGCCUGGAAUGCCCUUACCUUUCCAAUUCUGUGUGAAGAAAUCUUAUUAACUGCAGCAUCAUGUUGCUUCCUCCAGGAAGUCUCCCUGGAUUUCCCCAGGAACUGCUAUACCGUUUUCCACUGUGGCUUCAUUGUUGUACAUUCUCACCAAUAGUGCACAUGAAAGGUAGUACUUACUGAGCCUCAACCCUCCUCAGUAACCUGGGUAGCCUGAGUCAGAGGAAUCCAGCAUCCAUACCCCUAAACUAUCCUGUUGGACCCUGUUUACUGAUGGAAGUCCUUCCCAGUUGUGAGUGUCUUCUGACUAGUGCAGUUCCAGGACCAGUGACAUUGGAUAAAUCCAGCUGCAAAGGAAGGUGGGUGGUCUUUAAACCUAAAGUCAAGCAAAUCUGGCAGAUGGAGUUCACCUCAAGUGCAAACACCUUUCAGUGGUCGUGGUGCCUGGAUCCCUUUCUUGAGAAGGCUUGUGACAGCAGUGCUGUGACUGAGUAACGCUGGCCGUCUGCCACAGGCGUGGGAGGGACGAAGGCUGGUACUGCAUAUUUGACAACCCUGAACUCCUGUCUCCUCUUCACCAAGCCCUCUUAGCUUGCCAGGAUUUGUAUCUUGCAAGGUACCUCCAGUUCAGCAAGGACUUCUUCCUCAAAAGAGCCCCCCAAAGUCACUUCAAGUCAGUCACACCCGUUAAGUCUAUUUUCCAUCCUAAAGCAGUCUCCUGAAAUGAAGCUCUCUCAGGCCCUCCUGAUUCUGUCACCUCUCUCUCACUCCCGCCAAAGAACCCACCUUCCAGUCCAGCUAGUUCUUCUGUUUAGAGAGAGAAAAGCUGCCCAUGUAAUUGGGGCUGUUGUUCUCCCUCUCUCCUCGCUCUGUGAUGUAUCGUAAAGCUUUAGCAGGUGCACGCCCACCCGAGGAGGCGGGGGUGAAGGAGAAAUGUGGGAGGGCUGUGCUCCAGUUGGUGCUGAGGUCUCCACAGCAGCUUGCUGAAUGCUCAUUUACGAGGCUCUGCAAAGCAUUUUGGCAACGGGAAGUGCUACCGAUAGUGACGUAGUGGAAAGUCAUGGGACAGAAAAGACUUUAUAUACACUUCCAUUUUUUCCCCGCCCAUACUCUGGAAUGAACCAGUAAACAUGUCAUUAAAACAAGAGCAAAAUCAUUCUUCUGGGAUUUAAGGCUCUGUCUUAGUAGGAAAAGAAUACUUGGGAGAACUUAACUUUUAAGUGACGUUUGAUGCCAACAGAUUCUAAAAGCUGACAUCGACAUUUCUGAUAUUUGUCCAUUACUGUUUAAUGCCGCAGGUUAAGUGUUGCUUCAGGGAGCUUGGAAUUGUUCACUUCUAAGAAGUGAAGAGGAUGCUCAUUAUUUCUCUUAUUACUUCUCUUUAGAAUUUGUAUCGCUCUUAUCACCCACAAACUGCUCCUUGGUAAUUUUCAUUACUAACAAACUCGUAACCCGAUUGGCUUCUUUUGAAAUUGGGGGUACCGUGAAGUCACUCAGGAUAUAGAUGUGGUGCUGAUGGGAUCAAUUAAAAUGAAUCGUAGCCCAGGGAAAGGUGCUUUGUGGAGCAUUACAACGUGACAAAAAUGAGUUUAGAAAUAAGCACUUAUUUUACGACCGCAUUUCACAAACUUGUUCACCCAGAUAUUUGUGACAGUCACAUUCGGGACCAACAUAAAGGGUGAGAUAGAGGAAGAAAAACUGGCAAACAUGAGGAUUUAAAAGGAAUUGAUGUUUACUGACGAGAAAUUCAUCAUUUCAAAGGGCCUCCAGGAACAGGC
ensembl:lncRNA